GGCGGGGUACUCAAGUGGACAACGAGGAUAGACUGUAAAUCUAUUGGCUCUUGCCUUCGAAGGUUCGAAUCCUUCCCCCGCCACCA
rnacentral:tRNA from 1 species